GGGGAUUUAGCUCAGUGAUAGAGCGCUUGCCUAGCAAGCACAAGGCCCUGGGUUCAGUCCCCAGCUCCG
rnacentral:tRNA from 1 species